GGGGCUGUGGCUCAGUGACAGAUCACCUGCUUCAAGUGCAGCAGGUGCCAGGUUCAAUUCCUGCCAUCUCUU
rnacentral:tRNA from 1 species